GGUUGACCUCGGAUCAGGUAGGAAUACCCGCUGAACUUAAGCAUAUCAAUAAGCGGAGGAAAAGAAACCAACAGGGAUUGCCUCAGUAACGGCGAGUGAAGCGGCAACAGCUCAAAUUUGAAAUCUGGCCUCUUCGGGGUCCGAGUUGUAAUUUGUAGAGGAUGUUUCGGGUACCGCCUCGGUUUAAAUUUCUUGGAACAGAAUGUCAGAGAGGGUGAGAAUCCCGUCUUGGACCGGCGGUAGGGCCCAUGUGAAACUCCUUCGACGAGUCGAGUUGUUUGGGAAUGCAGCUCAAAAUGGGUGGUAAAUUUCAUCUAAAGCUAAAUAUUGGCCAGAGACCGAUAGCGCACAAGUAGAGUGAUCGAAAGAUGAAAAGAACUUUGAAAAGAGAGUUAAACAGUAUGUGAAAUUGUUGAAAGGGAAGCGCUUACAACCAGACUUGAGCGCGGCGGUUCCCCCUUCCUUUUGGUUGGGUUACUCCGCCGUGUCCAGGCCAACAUCGGUUCUGGGGGUCGGUUAAAGGCCUGGGGAAUGUAUCUACUCCUUCGGGGGUAGGCUUAUAGCCCCGGGUGUCAUGCGACCACCCGGGACCGAGGAACGCGCUUCGGCUCGGAUGUUGGCGUAAUGGUUGUCAGCGACCCGUCUUGAAACACGGACCAAGGAGUCUAA
rnacentral:rRNA from 1 species